rnacentral:lncRNA from 1 species
CAGACACAUCAUCUUUGCAUAUCUCUGCUCCCCAACCAGACAGUGACCUAUCUCAGAAGUCAAACUGAGAUCAAAUGUUACUUUCCAGUUCGUGUGUAAAAAAACAUUGAAUCACAAGAGGAACUAGAGGAAAAAGAUGUCCAUUCUGCAUACUGCUGUGUUCACAGAGUUUUUCAACAGUCUGCAUAGCCCUCGUGGGAAGUAUGUGUGAAUAUGGGCUGAUCCCAUGGGAGAAGCUGGCAUCAGAAGAAAAACUUCAUUAUGAAUUGGUGCCAUGCCAUCCUCAGAUGCUUGGCUAGGAAUAAAAGGAUCUCAUUCUGCUGUGAAAAAGAUGCAGUUACAACAGGCUGAGUCUAUGGAACGUUCCAAAAUAUGGAACAG